rnacentral:rRNA from 1 species
AUGUUACCUUACCGUGAUCCUUACCAUAACCUGGUGUUAAUGCAGGCCACCAUAAGUCAAUUUGAGUCGGAGCUUGCUGUCCUGAAGAGUCGUCUGGAAACUCAAGAACUAGAAACUCAGAAGGCCAACUCCAAAUUUGAAUUCAGUGUCUCUGAAAAUGAGAAGUUGAAGAAAAAAUUUGAGUCAGAGAAGAAAGCCUGGGCUGAUGAGAAGGCUUCACUGGUGACUCGGGCCGAGACGGCAGAAGCAUCUCUUGCUGACGCAACAACCGAGCUGUCCGACUUAACACGACAGAUAUCUCAAAUGGUCUCAGCCAUCUUCGGUAAGUUGACUGUUAUGCUUGUGCACACACAGGCCCCAGGAGUACCAACCUUAAGAAAAACAAGCUGA